UCCACUGGACACUUGGGCAGUUACUUCCAAAGUAUUUUGAAGGACAAUGCAAAUUUCUUUACAUGUCUGAUAAACAAAGCUAUCAAGAUAGAGAAACUUCAUGUGAGAUGUAAAGAAGGGGGAGGACCAGCCCUCAAAUAAGCAAUUGAAUCAACUGGAAGAAAAAAAAUCCCAACAUUGGAGAGCUCUAAAAGUGAGGCUUAAUUUUACUUAGAAAUCCUGUCAGCCAUCCCCCACCCCACCCCAGGCACAGCCAGGGCUCCGGCUGUCAGUCCUGGGUGGCUGCUUCCCUGCCUGCCUGGGAAGUGAGAGGGGGACCCCAUUGCAGCCCCCCCAGACCUGGGGAGGGUGAAGAACCCUAAGGAGCAGAGAAUGAGCCCAACCUUCCUCCGGAGAAGUGGAAAAAUAAAAGAAUAGUCCGGCGAAACGAGACAUUAAGAAGCAAUUUAGUGAAGAGCGGGCUUCAGUUCAUUGACAGAUUUGUGGAGUUGCUGAAGGAAACGGAGGAUGCACCCAAGGACACCCAAAAGAAAUACCUGCAGAAGAUGCUGCACGCGAUAUUCUUCUUCGGCCGAAUACAUAACACUCCCAUAGAGCCCAGAGAGUUUUUACCUGAGCCUUAUCAAGAUGCAUUCAGACGUCUCUACCCAGCCCCAUUUGAGCAGUGUACAACGCACCUUCCCACCAAAACACCUUACUCCAUCCUUCUUGAUUACGUGACAGAAGUGAAACGUUUCACUACCCCCGAGGAGCUAAUGAGCUUUCUGCAGAGCUUUAAUGCGCAACUGUGGAAUCAAUCACCGGAGGAGGGACCUCAUGCGCUGAAUGCCACUGAGUUCACCUUUACAGCCUCAGUUAUCGCUUGCUGCUUCUACGAUGAUCCCCAGGGUGGCACUGACCUCCACCGCUUCUAUGGCGCUUCCCUCUCAUGUAAGGGGCACCAUGAAAGAUGCAUCAUGAUUAAGUUGUCCUCUGUAAAAACAUGGCAUAAGGCUGUUGCCUAUGCAGUGGAACAUAAGGGUGAUGGUCCGGCCAUCACUUUCCCUGAGGGGGUGUGGAGCCAGGCCUUUCAGUUUAGUGUUAAAGAACAAAAGUAUCAGGAGAAGUCACCCUGUGAGAAGUGUCAGCAAUUGUUUAGGAACGUGAACUUUCGGCCCCCUCCCAUUGCCCCCCCAAACGGGGGCACGUGGCAGUAUGGGAACUGCGCUGAGGUGGAGUCCUUGAGCAAACUCCUGCUGGGGACCAGCGUGGUGGAGGAGGGAGUUCGGUCAACAAGCACACCCCCUCUAAACUAUGAAGCCAUAGAGAGGGACUUCACAGGUAAAAUGGAGGCAAAAGUUAAAGCAAAGCUUAUUCAGAAGCUGGGGUCAAGACAGUUCAAGGCCAAGCCAUUACAGUUUUUCAGUCUCCAGUGACUGAGAGUGGCAGCGAUGGGGGAGUCAGGCUGGCAUUCUGUGCAGCUCCGGCACCCUCCUGAUCGGGGGCUGUUGCAGGGGUCACAGGUUCUCUGGUUCUACCUCCCCCUCCAACACAGCCCACAGCAGCAGAGACUGCCCAGAGUGCAUAUGCUAUGGGGACCCCCCCAGCCCUGCCCCUCCCUUGUACAGGGUCUGUGUGCUGGAGGGAGCAUGCCCCCAGAGUCUAACUGGAUAAGGACUGUGGUAGAGGGGGGCACACAGCUCGUGUGUCUCUGAAGCUGUUUGAUUGGUAAUUCAGCCUACCCCACCUCCUGACCCUCAAGGAGAAAAGAGAAACAAAGGAGACUUGCUACGGCUUUGAUGCAGCCCUUGGUCCAGGCUCUCCACUGAGACCCCAGUGACUAGCCUAUCGCACCAACACUGGAGGCUGCGCUGUCUUUGGAGCCUGUCAGUGUUUGUGGGAGGCUCCAUUUAGAACUAGUCCCUUCCUGCAAUAGAGCUGCAGUCUUGGGCCCCAUCUAAUCCAUCCCCCAGGGACCAAUACACGAUUGCUUCUUACUGCACAUUCGCUGGUGCUACAGCCAGCCCUUCGCUUGGGGGCUAUUCCACAGCCUGAGCCAUCUCCCUGGCAAGAAGCUUUCUCCCAACUUUUCCUUUUCUUAAUAUCAUCAGCUCCUUCCCCGCUGUUAUUCUGCAUGGGUCCCCUGGGAACAAUUCCGCUCCCUCUCAUCUGCUCACACCCUUCAGACAUUUAGCUGGUGAUGCUGCUUCCCACCUAGUCUAACACUCACAGCUCUGACUUGGCCAGCGGCACUCCGGGGAUACCGUAGCGAACAGAGCCAUGGGGGACACCUUCAGAGUUCAGAGACGGUCAGUGACAGACAUCCAGCUGUGAAUUCCCCAUUACCAGAAACGGUCAUGAGCUGGAGUGAGACCUCUUCUCUUUGCACCAACCGUCCCUCGGGAUGGCUGCAGAGUGUCCAAGCCCCACCUCCCUGGACAAGGAUCACCAAGUAUAGUACACCCUCACUAUAACGCCCUUCACAAUAGCACACCUGGUCCCUGGAUCCCACCUCCAGCCCCGCCCGGGGGGCAGAGCGCUCCACCUGCCGCGCGGUCACGGCCGGCCAGAUUGCGCCUCUGGCCCCAGGGCCCCAGCUGCGGUUCCGGGACCACAGGAGCUCUCAGCUCUGCUGCAGGGCUUGAGGUGUCAGCCCCUCCCAGCAGGGCUCUUUUCCUAUAACAAACCCCUAGCUACAACGACCAAAUGGCUUGGAUUCCCAGGGGUUCCUUAGAGCGAGGGCAUACUGUAUGCUCCCACUUAAGACCAGACUCUUCCUCCUCACUUGGUGGAAGAUGCUUCCCCUCACACAGAAAUAGACCUCAUGUGUCUGGAACCUCGGGACUACAGCCUGCUGUACUGGAAAUGCAGGUGGUGGGCAUGAAGGUGGCUUUACAUUAGACUGUAAACGCUUCUGCUGAGGGACCUGUUGUUCCUAGCUGUUCGUACAGCCCCCAGCACAGGGGGGCCCUUAGGUGCUAAUGCAAUGCAAACAGUACAAGUUUGGUCUAUUGGAUAUGGGGUUGGAGUCCUGGGCAGAUUGUCUGUUUUUGCUGUAUUUAAAUAAACUCACCUGAUUUUACUUGAAGUUUUGGGGCAGGGACCUGUGCAUCUGGGAAGCCCCUCACACGCCUUCUGGGGCAUUAUAAUAACAGUUUUGUAUAUGGCUAAGAAGCCUAAAGUGGCCUGCCCUCAGAAGACAUGGCAUUAAAUCAGAGGGAGAAGGGAACUACGCU